UUUUUUAAUACAUUAAAUGUAUUUAGCGCAAAUAAAAAGUUAUUUGUUAUGAAUACACUAGUUUGCAAAUAUUUGUUAGAACAUGGAAUUAUCCGGUUUGUGAAAAUGGAUAAAAAUGUGUGUGUGUGCGCGCGUUACAUAUAAGAGCAACGAAAUCUAAAUAUCACAUAAACGGGAAAAGAAGAAUAACCUCAAUGCCACCCUUCAACUUCUAAGCAACUCCUCAUUUACCUGUUCGUAUGUACUCCAAUAAGGAGCAUAAAACCACACAAACAACAAAAUAAGUGAGAACAUACAAAACACAUAUUGUGCGUUUUGGCCAUGAAGUUUAAUUAAGAACUCUGAUUUUCACUUCCCAGACCCUAAAUCAAACAACAACAAUCAAGAAAAUGAU
rnacentral:lncRNA from 1 species